rnacentral:rRNA from 2 species
UGGGGAAUAUUGGACAAUGGGGGCAACCCUGAUCCAGCCAUGCCGCGUGAGUGAAGAAGGCCUUAGGGUUGUAAAGCUCUUUCGCCGGUGAAGAUAAUGACGGUAACCGGAGAAGAAGCCCCGGCUAACUUCGUGCCAGCAGCCGCGGUAAUACGAAGGGGGCUAGCGUUGUUCGGAAUUACUGGGCGUAAAGCGCACGUAGGCGGAUUGUUAAGUCGGGGGUGAAAUCCCAGGGCUCAACCCUGGAACUGCCUCCGAUACUGGCAUUCUUGAGUCCGAGAGAGGUGAGUGGAAUUCCGAGUGUAGAGGUGAAAUUCGUAGAUAUUCGGAAGAACACCAGUGGCGAAGGCGGCUCACUGGCUCGGUACUGACGCUGAGGUGCGAAAGCGUGGGGAGCAAACAGG